rnacentral:rRNA from 1 species
UGGUGACUAUAGCAAGGAGGUCACACCUGUUCCCAUGCCGAACACAGAAGUUAAGCUCCUUAGCGUCGAUGGUAGUCGAACAAUAAAAGCAAACACAAAGAAAGAUGGCUUGGCGAAGUGAAAACGUUUGAAUC